ensembl:lncRNA
AUGGAACCUGGAAUGGUUCAUCCAAUUGUACUCGACCCUAAACAUCCAUUAUCCCAUUUAAUUAUCAAGGACUGUGAUGAGAAACUUUUCCAUCCUGGUCCAGAGAGAGUUUUCUCAGAACUUCGGCGCAAUUACUGGAUAAUUAGAGGGAGACAAGCCGUAAAAAAACAUCAGUGGUCUUGUUUACAAUGUAGAAAGUGGAGAGCUAAGCCAUCUAUCCCUCAAAUGUCAGAUCUGCCAAGCUCCAAGCUCCGGUUGUUUAAACCUCCCUUUUGGUCCACCGGAAUGGACUGUUUUGGUCCCUUUCAUGUCAAUAUUGGCCGUAGAACGGAGAAGAGAUGGGGCAUUCUGUUUAAAUGCCAGACCACUCGAUGUCUGCAUCUUGAUUUGUUGAGCAGUUUAAAUGUGGACAGCUUUCUAAUGGCCCUACGCCGCUUCAUAUCUAGGAGAGGAAGGCCUUAUGAGAUUCUUUGUGAUCAAGGAAGUAAUUUCCGUGGAGCUGCAAGAGAAUUAAAGGAAGCUUUCCAAAACCUUACCACUGAGUUGCAAGUCAAGUUGGAAAGUCAGCAGAUUAAAUUCAAGUUUAAUCCACCACAAGCUCCUCAUUUUGGGGGGUCAUGGGAAAGAGAGGUCCGUUCAGUUAAAACAGCUCUGCGGGUGGUACUUGGCAGUCAAACAGUAUCAGCAGAAGUCCUACAAACAGUUUUGACUGAAGUUGAAGGAGUGUUAAAUUCGAAGCCACUUGGUUACGCCUCUUCAAACAUUUCAGAUCUCGACCCCAUCACUCCAAAUCUCCUCCUCAUGGGGCGGCGAGACUCUUCUCUACCUCAGGUGAUUUAUGCCAACACUAAGCUCUUUGGCCGCCGAUCUUGGCGCCAUAGCCAGGUCCUCGUGGACCAGUUCUGGACAUCCUUUAUCCGAUAUUAUCUACCAGGUCAGCAGCUCCGUCAAAAAUGGAACCGAGAACAACCUAAUCUAAAUGACUCUGCUGUCGUGUUAGUUAUUGAUUCUCAACUCCCAAGAGCAUCAUGGCCCAUUGGUAGGGUAGUACGUCUCUUACCUAGUCAGGAUGGGCGCGUUAGAGUAGCUGAGAUUGUUAUCAAUGGAAAGACAUAUGUACGUCCAGUUGCUAAGUUGAUUCCAUUACCUAAAAUAGAUGAGUGA